rnacentral:rRNA from 1 species
UACAGAGGGGGCUAGCGUUAUUCGGAAUUAUUGGGCGUAAAGGGCGCGUAGGCGGCUUUGCGUGUCUUCCGUGAAAUCCCUCGGCUCAACUGAGGACGUGCGGAAGAAACUGCAGGGCUCGAGUCCGGGAGAGGGGGGUGGAAUUCCCAGUGUAGCGGUGAAAUGCGUAGAUAUCGACCGGAACUCCGGUGGCGAAGGCGAGGUGCUGGGCCCUUUCUGACGCUGAUGCGCGAAAGCCAGGGGAGCAAACGGG